rnacentral:rRNA from 1 species
UACGGAGGAUGCGAGCGUUGUCCGGAAUCAUUGGGCGUAAAGGGCGCGUAGGUGGCCCGGUCAGUUCGUGGUGAAAGCGCGGGGCUCAACCCUGCGUCGGCCAUGAAUACUGCCGCGGCUGGAGCACUGUAGAGGCAGGCGGAAUUCCGGGUGUAGCGGUGGAAUGCGUAGAGAUCCGGAAGAACACCGGUGGCGAAGGCGGCCUGCUGGGCAGUUGCUGACACUGAGGCGCGACAGCGUGGGGAGCAAACAGG